GACGAACGCUGGCGGCGUGCUUAACACAUGCAAGUCGAACGGAAAGGCCCUGCUUUUGUGGGGUGCUCGAGUGGCGAACGGGUGAGUAACACGUGAGUAACCUGCCCUUGACUUUGGGAUAACUUCAGGAAACUGGGGCUAAUACCGGAUAGGAGCUCCUGCUGCAUGGUGGGGGUUGGAAAGUUUCGGCGGUUGGGGAUGGACUCGCGGCUUAUCAGCUUGUCGGUGGGGUAGUGGCUUACCAAGGCUUUGACGGGUAGCAGGCCUGAGAGGGUGACCGGCCACAUUGGGACUGAGAUACGGCCCAGACUCCUACGGGAGGCAGCAGUGGGGAAUAUUGCACAAUGGGCGGAAGCCUGAUGCAGCAACGCCGCGUGCGGGAUGACGGCCUUCGGGUUGUAAACCGCUUUCGCCUGUGACGAAGCGUGAGUGACGGUAAUGGGUAAAGAAGCACCGGCUAACUACGUG
rnacentral:rRNA from 1 species